UAUUCUAGAGAGGCGUGCCAAACUGCCAGUGCGGAUACUUAGAAGCAGAAUGCCAAAAACCUGCUUUCCCAGCCUAAUCCAAGUGGCAGUCGUUAUAAUGCUACUUAACUCGGUCUUCGUGGAAAAAACCAUUUCAGGAUUUACCGGAGGUACUCCAAGUUGUUAUUUUCAUCCUCCAUAUAAUUGUCCAUCGGCGAAAGAUGGCAGCUCAAAGCGUCAACUUAGAAAGGUGGAGAACAUGUGCUUGACACAGAAGAGAGGCCUCUGCAGAUCAGUCCAAGACUACUGCAAAUUUGAACAAGAACUUGGUAACGUUUGACUAAAAAUAGUGAAAAACCAACCCAGAAAUAAAUCGGCUAAUAAGUUGAACAGUGUUACAUGAUAAAUUUAAAUUUAGGCCUUUUAAUAUCAUUAUAAGUUACAAUAGACGUUUUCCAAGUUCCGUAGGUACAUUUAACAAAUUAAUUUGCAUGCCUGUAAACUAAAGAAUAAAUUGCGUAAAGUAA